rnacentral:rRNA from 1 species
AACGAACGCUGGCGGCAUGCCUAACACAUGCAAGUCGAACGAGACCUUCGGGUCUAGUGGCGCACGGGUGCGUAACGCGUGGGAAUCUGCCCUUGGGUUCGGGAUAACAGUUGGAAACGACUGCUAAUACCGGAUGAUGACUUCGGUCCAAAGAUUUAUCGCCCAGGGAUGAGCCCGCGUCGGAUUAGCUUGUUGGUGAGGUAAAGGCUCACCAAGGCGACGAUCCGUAGCCGGUCUGAGAGGAUGAUCAGCCACACUGGGACUGAGACACGGCCCAGACUCCUACGGGAGGCAGCAGUGGGGAAUAUUGGACAAUGGGCGAAAGCCUGAUCCAGCAAUGCCGCGUGAGUGAUGAAGGCCUUAGGGUUGUAAAGCUCUUUUACCCGGGAAGAUAAUGACUGUACCGGGAGAAUAAGCCCCGGCUAACUCCGUGCCAGCAGCCGCCGCGGUAA